GAGUUUGAUCGUGGCUCAGAUUGAACGCUGGCGGCAUGCCUAACACAUGCAAGUCGAGCGGUAACAGGCCCGCAAGGGUAGCUGACGAGCGGCGGACGGGUGAGGAAUGCAUAGGAAUCUGCCUCAGAGCGGGGGAGUAGCCAGGGGAAACGUCUGAUUAAUACCGCAUGAUGUCGAAAGACCAAAGUGGGGACCGUAAGCCUCACACUCUGAGAUGAGCCUAUGCCCGAUUAGCUAGUUGGCGGGGUAAUGGCCCACCAAGGCAACGAUCGGUAGCUGGUCUGAGAGGACGAUCAGCCACACCGGAACUGAGACACGGUCCGGACUCCUACGGGAGGCAGCAGUGGGGAAUAUUGGACAAUGGGCGAAAGCCUGAUCCAGCAAUGCCGUGUGUGUGAAGAAGGCCUUCGGUUGUAAGAC
rnacentral:rRNA from 1 species